UACGGAGGGUCCAAGCGUUAUCCGGAUUUAUUGGGUUUAAAGGGUGCGUAGGCUGUUUGAUAAGUUAGAGGUGAAAGCCCGUAGCUCAACUACGGAACUGCCUCUGAUACUGUCAGGCUAGAGAAUGGUUGCUGUGGGCGGAAUGUGUGGUGUAGCGGUGAAAUGCUUAGAUAUUACACAGAACACCAAUUGCGUAGGCAGCUUACUGAGCCGACACUGACGCUGAGGCACGAAAGCGUGGGGAUCAAACAGGAUUAGA
rnacentral:rRNA from 1 species